UUACGGUCAUAUCACGUUGAAAUACCGGUUACCGUACGAUCACCGAAAUUAAGCAACGUCGACCCUAGUCAGUAUCUUGUUGGGUGACCGCUUUGGAAUAUCAAGUAC